CUGAGACCCGCACCCUUCCCCGGUCCCACCCGUCACCAGGCCGCCCGCGUAGCCAGGAAUUCUUAGCCAGGUUCCUGUGCGCCCACCGUGACCCUACGAGAAGAGGCGGACGCCCUGGCACGUCCUUCCCUCCUGCUUCCCCCGCCCGAAGCGCUCCCGGUUCCCGGGGCGUCAGGUCGGCUGACAGUUCGGGGUCCCUGCGUCCUGUCUCCUCAGCUGGGCUUCGAGGAUGUGAUCGCAGAGCCGGUGACUACGCACUCCUUUGACAAAGUGUGGAUCUGCAGCCAUGCCCUCUUUGAAAUCAGCAAAUACGUAAUGUACAAGUUCCUGACGGUGUUCCUGGCCAUUCCUCUGGCCUUCAUUGCGGGAAUUCUCUUUGCCACGCUCAGCUGUCUGCACAUCUGGAUUUUAAUGCCUUUUGUAAAGACCUGCCUAAUGGUUCUGCCUUCAGUGCAGACAAUAUGGAAGAGUGUGACAGAUGUUAUCAUUGCUCCAUUGUGUACGAGCGUAGGACGAUGCUUCUCUUCUGUCAGCCUGCAACUGAGCCAGGAUUGAAUACUCGGACCCCAGGUCUGGAGAUUGGGAUACUGUAAUACUUCUUUGUUAUUAUAACAUAAAAGCACCACUGUUCUGUUCAUUUCCUAGCUGUUCUAAUUAAGAAAACUAUUAAGAUGAGCAACCACAUUUAGAAAUGUUUAUUGACAGGUCUUUUCAAAUAAUGCUUUUCUAAUUAAUAGCCAAAGAUUUCAUAUCUAACUUUGUAACCAGAAUUAUACAGUAAGUUGAC
rnacentral:sRNA from 1 species